rnacentral:rRNA from 1 species
GGCGGGCAGCUUCCCGGAAACGAAAGUUUUUCGGUUCCGGGGGAAGUAUGGUUGCAAAGCUGAAACUUAAAGGAAUUGACGGAAGGGCACCACCAGGAGUGGAGCCUGCGGCUUAAUUUGACUCAACACGGGAAAGCUCACCUGGCCCGGACACCGUGAGGAUUGACAGAUUGAGAGCUCUUUCUUGAUUCGGUGGUUGGUGGUGCAUGGCCGUUCUUAGUUGGUGGAGUGAUUUGUCUGGUUUAUUCCGGUAACGAGCGAGACUCUAGCCUACUAAAUAGUUACUGGAUAAUUGCGUCCAGAAGACUUCUUAGAGGGACAAGCGGUGUUCAGCCGCACGAAGCUGAGCAAUAACAGGUCUGUGAUGCCCUUAGAUGUCCAGGGCUGCACGCGCGCUACACUGGAGGAAUCAGCGUGCUGUAACCAUUGCCGAAAGGCAUUGGUAACCCCUUGAAAAUCCUCCGUGAUCGGGAUCGGGAAUUGCAAUUAUUUCCCUUGAACGAGGAAUUCCUAGUAAGUGUGAGUCAUCAGCUCACGUUGAUUACGUCCCUGCCCUUUGUACACACCGCCCGUCGCUGCCCGGGACUGAGCCGUUUCGAGAAAUGCGGGGACUGCUGUUUCGAUACCUUU